rnacentral:rRNA from 1 species
GAUGAACGCUGGCGGCGUGCCUAAUCCAUGCAAGUCGAGCGAAUGGAUUAAGAGCUUGCUCUUAUGAAGUUAGCGGCGGACGGGUGAGUAACACGUGGGUAACCUGCCCAUAAGACUGGGAUAACUCCGGGAAACCGGGGCUAAUACCGGAUAACAUUUUGAACCGCAUGGUUCGAAAUUGAAAGGCGGCUUCGGCUGUCACUUAUGGCUGGACCCGCGUCGCAUUAGCUAGUUGGUGAGGUAACGGCUCACCAAGGCAACGAUGCGUAGCCGACCGGAGAGGGUGAUCGGCCACACUGGGACUGGGACACGGCCCAGACGCCUACGGGAGGCCGCAGUAGGGAAUCUUCCGCAAUUGACGAAAGUCGGACGGUGCAACGCCGCGUGAGUGAUGAAGGCUUUCGUGUCGUAAAACACUGUUGUUAGGGAAGAACAAGUGCUAGUUGAAUAAGCUGGCACCUUGACGGUACCUAACCAGAAAGCCACGGCUAACUACGUGCCAGCCGCCGCAGUAA